rnacentral:rRNA from 1 species
CUGGUUGAUCCUGCCAGUAGUCAUACGCUYMGUCUCAAAGAUUAAGCCAUGCAUAGUGUAAGUAUAAGUAUUGUACAACGAAACUGCGAAUGGCUCAUUAAAACAGUUAUAGUUUAUUUGAUAAUCGAAAGUUACAUGGAUAACCGUGACAAAUUACAGCUAAUACAUGCAGCAAGACCUCUAUGAGGUUGUAAUUAUUAGUAUUAAACCAAUUACUUCGGUAAURUGAUGAAUCAUAGUAAUCGAGCGAAUCGCAGAAUUCUGCGAUAAAUCAUUCAAGUUUCUGCCCUAUCAGCUUUGGAUGGUAAUGUAUUGGACUACCAUGGCAAUCACGGGUAACGGAGAAUUAGGGUUCGAUUCCGGAGAGGGAGCCUGAGAAACGGCUACCACAUCUACGGAAGGCAGCAGGCGCGAAAAUUGCCCAAUCCUGAUUCAGGGAGGCAGUGACUAGAAAUAACAACUCUCAACUUUGUUGAGAAGUGUAAUGAGGAUAAUUUACAAACCUUACCGAAAGCAAUUGGAGGGCAAGUCUGGU